GAUUUUAGCAUGGAAUAAUGGAAUAGGACGUGCGGUUCUAUUUUGUUGGUUUCUAGAGUCGCCGUAAUGAUUAAUAGGGAUAGUUGGGGGCAUUGGUAUUGAGUCGCUAGAGGUGAAAUUCUUGGAUUGACUCAAGACCAACUACUGCGAAAGCAUUUGCCAAGGAUGUUUUCAUUAAUCAAGAACGAAGGUUAGGGGAUCGAAAACGAUCAGAUACCGUUG
rnacentral:rRNA from 1 species